CCGCAGCGAGAGGCACCGCACCGUGUCCACGUCCGCGCCGCCGCCGACACACGCGUCGUUUUUGCGCCGAGUGCGGCAGGCGGAUGCGCUUUGCUCCCGCACUGGUGCCGCAUGAUUAUUGAUCGGCCCUCCCCCUGCUGCCGCUGGUCCUCCUCCUCCUCUCCGCGCGCGCGCCGCCAGACGAACCCGAAGUUGCACCGCGAUUACGAGAAAAAGAGCAGACGAACGAGAAGAAAUUAAAGUCCAGUCCAGGGCGUUAUCAUCGUCGACCCCGCUGCCUCCCAUCCCAUCCCCUCGGGAUUCCUUCUGCCCGAUCGCGAUAACCGUGUGGAGCACCGCUGCGCCCGGCCGACGCGUCCAGCUGCACCUAGUCCCGAGUCGCGGGCCGUCACUGCUGUUGUUUGUCGGCGUCGCGACGCGGACGCGGGGAAGUGGAGCGGUGACCGCGCCGGCAGGACACACCUAAGCCCCUGCACCUGCGCGCCGAGGCCAAGCCGUCGUCAUGUCGGCGUCCCGGAUUAUCGUCGGCGGCCCGAUUAGCAGGGAAAUACUCUCCGCCGGCGGCCCCGGCACGGAAGCGGGGCGGCUGCGGGGCGGAUGGCGGCGCUGUUUUGGAAUGGCCGGGCCCGCGGCGCCCGCGGGAGGGUCCGGCCCCCUCGCGAGCGCGCGAGGCGCGCGGCCGGCGACGGCGGCGGCCAUCAGUCCGCCGUGGGCCGUCACGCACCAGACAGGCCAGAGCAAGAGGACCAUGACGACCAGCAGCUGCAAGAGGCAGAAAUGCCUCUCCAUCGAGAACAUGAACCCCUGCGUCAAGGUGAUGGAGUACGCCGUGCGCGGGCCCCUCGUCAUCCGGGCGGGCGAGAUCGAAAAGGAGCUGGAGAAGGUACGUCACUCUAGGCCUCUAGGCCUCCUGUCAAACCCUUCUGCGCCCCGCCCACCCCCGGCCAGGCCUCGCGAUGACACUGCCGCCCGUGAGGGGCUGCGAGGUCCUGGCCCUGGCCCUCGCCGUGGCAGUGGCCGAGGACGUGCGGUUCAAAAGCUUCGGCCUCGGCCAGACACAGCGCUCCAGCUGCUAGCAGACGAAACGUCGGGUUCACAUAACCUGUACGCUCCUGCUAAUCACUUACAUCAGAUCAGCUGAGACGGUUAUGCAACUUGACAGUAUCAGUCAGCAAAUGAGAACUAUGAAAAUAAAAGCAUGCUACAUUACACAUGCUUGUAUUUCAGCAGAUUCAUGUCACAUCGUUUGUUUUGUCCGUUUGGACAUCUGUUUCAUUCUAUGAAACCAGAGCGUAACUUUGCGCAAUCACAAAUUAUUAAAUUAAAUUUCUUUCCUU